UCUCGAUUGGUUUAGUGGUUAGAAUUUCCGCUUGUCAGCAAUAGCUCACUUGCGCGGGAGACCGGGGUUCGAUUCCCCGAUCGAGAG
rnacentral:tRNA from 1 species